CACCUGCACAGGUGCUGCAUGGCUGUCGUCAGCUCGUGUCGUGAGAUGUUCGGGUUAAGUCCCGCAACGAGCGCAACCCUUAUCCCUAGUUGCCAUCAGGUAAGCUGGGAACUCUGGGGAGACUGCCGGUGAUAAACCGGAGGAAGGCGGGGAUGACGUCAAGUCCUCAUGGCCCUUACAUCCCGGGCUACACACGUGCUACAAUGGCAGGUACAGAGGGCUGCGAAGCCGCGAGGUGGAGCGAAUCCCAGAAAACCUGUCUCAGUCCGGAUUGAAGUCUGCAACUCGACUUCAUGAAGGCGGAAUCGCUAGUAACCGCGAAUCAGCAGGUCGCGGUGAAUACGUUCCCGGGCCUU
rnacentral:rRNA from 1 species